UUUUCUGCCACCGAAUACAUUAGCAUGGGAUAAUGGAAUAGGACCCUGUCCUCCUAUUUUCAGUUGGUUUUGGCAGCGCGAGGACUAGGGUAAUGAUUAAUAGGGAUAGUUGGGGGCAUUAAUAUUUAAUUGUCAGAGGUGAAAUUCUUGGAUUUAUGAAAGAUUAACUUCUGCGAAAGCAUCUGCCAAGGAUGUUUUCAUUAAUCAAGAACGAAAGUUAGGGGAUCGAAGACGAUCAGAUACCGUCGUAGUCUUAACCAUAAACGAUGCCGACCAGCGAUUAGGAGACGUUGAAUACAAAACACCACCAUCGGCGCGGUCGUCCUUGGCGCGUUCGUGUUCACGCACGGGCGCGCGAGGGCGGUUUAGCCCGGUGGCACCGGUGAAUGACUCCCCUAGCAGCUUGUGAGA
rnacentral:rRNA from 3 species